rnacentral:lncRNA from 1 species
GCAGCCCUUGGAUGAAGACAUAGAACUCUCAGCUCCUCCUGCGCCAUGCCUGCCUGGAUACUGCCAUGCUCUCACCUUGAUGAUAAUGGACUGAACCUCUGAACCUGCAACAAGGAAGAGACACCUGCAAUUGUUAUUCUUGGGCAGCACUGGGAAGCAUCCUUUCAUAAACAAAGCACACACUGCCUACCAUAAUUCCAGUGGAUUUCUGAAAGGUGUUUUUAUGACUGAAGCAAAUUCUUUCAAGCUGUUUCUGUGGAAGGAGAAUCAUAAGAAGGAGAGAUGGGAAAUGCUUGCUGAACACCCUGUUAACAAAGAGGUCCCUUUGCUGUUGAGAAAGAAAAUGGUACUGUUGGAGCACAAAAUGGGACCUGAGCAUGGUCUCAUCAGAUUGACCACUGAGAUUAAACCUCACAUUGACUAAUAAUAAAAGAAGCAAUAAAGAAAAGAGAACAAAGUUUGAAGCCAAAGGUCUUCCCAGCAAUGAAAACAGACAGAAUCUGACAGUUUUAAGUUGGCCCUGGUUAUUUUUCAGACAGGGUCACAUGGUCUUGAAUUUUCUAUGCUAUGAUGACGUUGAACUUCUGAUCGUCCUGCCUCCACCUACCAAGUGCUGGGAUUGAACCUCAUGUAUGCUAGGUAAGGAAAACGCAUAGCUUAUUGCCAUUGUGAGAUGUAUAGAACAAAUGAAAUCCUCAGUGUGUGUGUAUUGUUGACCUGAGCUUGGCCCUGCCAGGGCUUGAUCUGGUGCUGCUUGUAUUCGUGCUAAUUACUGGGCCCCAAGAUCUGGCUACUGCCUUGAAGAGAUCCUCACGUCCACCAAGAGAUGCUAGGUAAUUGCAGGAUGCAGUCUUCUCUCUACAGUUCACCCUACUGCUCCUGCUGUAAGCUAACUAGAUUUAUCCUGCACAAUUAAGGAAAGAUGGACCAUGAGCUCGUGGCCAGGAGAAACAGCAAGCUCCAAAGAAAACAGGAAGCAUCUGUGGGCUCCCAGACCUGGAUAUCGACAGCCUUAGAGUUAGUCAGGACACGAGGCUGUUACUCUCCUUAGAAAAGCUUUCUUUCUAAAGCUUUCUAAAGGAGUUUUGCAUUUCUUUUUGGUUUUUUGUUUGUUUGUUUGUUUGUUUUGUUUUUCGAGACAGGGUUUCUCUGUGUAGCCCUGGCUGACCUGGAACUCACUCUGUAGACCAGGCUGGCCUCGAACUCAGAAAUCUGCCUGCCUCUGCCUCCCGACCAAGUGCUGGGAUUAAAGUCCUGCACUACCACUGCCCAGCUGAGUUUUGCAUUUUUAACCAUCUCCUUGCUGUUAAUUUUUGACCUGCAAUACAUUUGCCAGAGAUAAUAUGUAUGUUUUAGAUGGCCAUAUUGUGUCUGUCUGCUGUACUGUGUUGUGUGUAAUAUAUAAUUACAUAUGUCCUGUAUUGUGAUAUAUAAUUACAUAUGUAAUAAGUAAUAUUUUAGCAACUUCUGUAUGUUCACAAGAAGAAAUUUAAGGCAUGAAGAUACUGCUUACUGUUACCUAAAGGACCCAAUAAAAACCCAGAAACAGGUCCCAGAUAAACAUCAGCAGCACAGGACUGGUACUGGAAAUUUCAUUGGGCCUAAUGUUGUAUGCAUCCUUUUUCUUAAAGUGAGGUUCAAAUAUUAGCCUGAUUGAAGUACCCAAUAUAAAUAUACUCAACGGACUAUUUUCUGUAAAACUCAAUGGCAUGAUGCUUUGGAAGAUAUUGCUGCCACAGGCAAGUGGCACAAGCAGCAGACACACAG